UACAGAGGGUGCAAGCGUUGUUCGGAAUUAUUGGGCGUAAAGAGCUCGUAGGUGGCUUGUCGCGUCGGAUGUGAAAGCCCGGGGCUUAACUCCGGGUCUGCAUUCGAUACGGGCAGGCUAGAGUGUGGUAGGGGAGUUCGGAAUUCCUGGUGUAGCGGUGAAAUGCGCAGAUAUCAGGAGGAACACCGGUGGCGAAGGCGGAUCUCUGGGCCAUUACUGACGCUGAGGAGCGAAAGCGUGGGGAGCGAACAGG
rnacentral:rRNA from 1 species